rnacentral:rRNA from 1 species
AUUGAACGCUGGCGGCAUGCCUUACACAUGCCAGUCGAACGGCAGCACGGGUGCUUGCCCCUGGUGGCGAGUGGCGAACGGGUGAGUAAUACAUCGGAACAUGUCCUGUAGUGGGGGAUAGCCCGGCGAAAGCCGGAUUAAUACCGCAUACGAUCUACGGAUGAAAGCGGGGGACCUUCGGGCCUCGCGCUAUAGGGUUGGCCGAUGGCUGAUUAGCUAGUUGGUGGGGUAAAGGCCUACCAAGGCGACGAUCAGUAGCUGGUCUGAGAGGACGACCAGCCACACUGGGACUGAGACACGGCCCAGACUCCUACGGGAGGCAGCAGUGGGGAAUUUUGGACAAUGGGCGAAAGCCUGAUCCAGCAAUGCCGCGUGUGUGAAGAAGGCCUUCGGGUUGUAAAGCACUUUUGUCCGGAAAGAAAUCCUUGGCCCUAAUACGGUCGGGGGAUGACGGUACCGGAAGAAUAAGCACCGGCCAACUACGUG